rnacentral:rRNA from 1 species
GGAGGUCACUGCUAUUGGGAUUCGACUAAGCCAUGCGAGUCGAGAGGGUUCGGCCCUCGGCUGACGGCUCAGUAACACGUGGAUAAUCUGCCCUUAGGUGGAGGAUAAUCUCGGGAAACUGAGGAUAAUACUCCAUAGAUCUAGGAUGCUGGAAUGCAUUUAGAUUGAAAGCUCCGGCGCCUAAGGAUGAGUCUGCGGACUAUCAGGUUGUAGUCAGGGUAAAGACCUGACUAGCCUACGACGGAUACGGGUUGUGAGAGCAAUAACCCGGAGACGAUAUCUGAGACACGAUAUCGGGCCCUACGGGGCGCAGCAGGCGCGAAAACUUCACACUGUGCGAAAGCGCGAUGAGGGAAUCCCAAGUGUUUGCUCGUAAGAGUAAACUGUUUCUUUGUUUAAAACGCAGAGAGAGUAAGGGCUGGGUAAGACGGGUGCCAGCCGCCGCGGUAAUACCUGCAGCUCAAGUGGUGAUCAUUAUUAUUGGGCCUAAAACGUCCGUAGCCGGUUUAGUAAAUGCCUGGGUAAAUCGUGUAGCUUAACUAUACGACUUCCGGGUAGACUGCUAAACUUGAGACCGGGAGAGGCUAGAGGUACUCCUGGGGUAGAGGUGAAAUUCUGUAAUCCUAGGGGGACCACCAGUGGCGAAGGCGUCUAGCUAGAACGGGUCUGACGGUGAGGGACGAAGCCCUGGGGCACAAACCGGAUUAGAUACCCGGGUAGUCCAGGGUGUAAACGCUGCUUGCUUGAUGUUAGUUGGGCUCCGAGCCCAACUAGUGUCGGAGAGAAGUUGUUAAGCAAGCUGCCUGGGAAGUACGGUCGCAAGGCUGAAACUUAA